UUGGAGGAAUGUAUAGCGAAAGCUAGCUGCAUUUAACUUAGCUAGAGUUGGUGUAGUAUUGACUAUGUCGAAUAAAGUUCUAGAUGGCUUAUGAUGAUGACAUUUCCCAUCUAUGUGUCUUGACCAAAUUACGUGCCAGCAGUCGCGGUAACACGUAAAAGACUAGUGUUAUUCAUCUUUAAUAGGUUUAAAGGGUACCUAGACGGUCGAUCAAGUCCGAUAAGGAUACUAAUUUGACUAGAGUUUAAUAUGAGGGGGCACAAAAGUACUGAUAAGUGGAGAGAUGAAAUUCUGUGAUACAAUAUACGGCACUGGUAAAAGCGAAGGCAUCUCAUUAUGUAAUAACUGACGUUGAGGGACGAAGGCUAUGUGUAGCAAAAAGGAUUAGAUACCCAAGUAGUCUUAGCAGAAAAUUAUGAAUGUCAUAGGAUAGACUAAUUCGUGUAAGGCGGACUUCUAUAUAAAAUACAUGAAGUUUUUGUUCUAUAAAUGAAAGUGUAAGCAUUCCACCUCGAGAGUAAUAUGGCAACAUAGGAACUGAAAUCAUUAGACCGUUUCUGAAACAAGUAGUGAAGUAUGUUGUUUAAUUUGAUGGUCCGCAAAAAACCUUACCACAAUUUGAAUAGAAAAAAACUUUUUUCAUACAAGCGCUGCACGGUUGUCUUCAGUUAAUGUCGUGAGAUCUUGGUUAGUUCCAUUAAAUUAACGUAAACCCUUACUUUAUUUUUAUAUAGAGUAGUUCACCGCUAGAUUGGAUGUGAUAACAGGGACUAAGACAAGUCAUCAUGGCCUUAAUAUUGUGGG
rnacentral:rRNA from 1 species